UGGCUCUCGCAUCGAUGAAGAACGCAGCGAAAUGCGAUACGUAAUGUGAAUUGCAGAAUUCAGUGAAUCAUCGAAUCUUUGAACGCAUAUUGCGCUCUUUGGUAUUCCGAAGAGCAUGCUUGUUUGAGUAUCAGUAAACACCUCAAGAUCUCCUUUUCUUUUUGUAAAGGGAUCUUGGACUUGAGCAAACCCAACACCUUUCUCUCUCUAUGAAAGACUGGAGGCGGGUUGCUUGAAAUGCAGGUGCAGCUGGACAAUCUCCUGAGCUAAAAGCAUAUUUAUUUAGUCCCGUAAAACGGAUUAUUACUUUUGCUACAGCUAACAUAAAGGGAGUAUUGACCUUUUUUCGCUGACUGAUGUAGGAAGUAAACUCGAGUCGGUUAAACGACUUGUUGUUCAACUCGAUCUCAAAUCAAGUAAGACUACCCGCUGA
rnacentral:misc_RNA from 1 species